UAGCAAUAUCCUGGCGGCGACCGGCGCACGGGUGAGUAACGCGUAUGCAACUUACCUAUCAGAGGAGAAUAGCUCAUCGAAAGAUGAAUUAAUGCUCCAUGAAACAGGGGUCCCGCAUGGGAAUAUUUGUUAAAGAUUCAUCGCUGAUAGAUAGGCAUGCGUUCCAUUAGGCAGUUGGCGGGGUAACGGCCCACCAAACCGACGAUGGAUAGGGGUUCUGAGAGGAAGGCCCCCACAAUGGGACUGAGACACGGCCCAUACUCC
rnacentral:rRNA from 1 species